GUUUUGUACCGCUUGGUUUCUCGGCCGCGCAGUUGAGUUCUUGGGUGGAAAGGUAGCUGUCUACUUCUUGCAUAGCUGUUUCCCCACCCAUUAGUCGUCAUUUUCUCCUGUUCCGCUGAGCGUACCAUAGGUUCCUGUAGAAUCUCCACAACUCCGAGGGCCUUGCUUUUUCCUUUGGACGCCUGGCUCCUGCUCCGGGAUUCUGGUGCAUCUUUCUUUCACCGAUUCGAUGGAGCCGCUCGGACUGAUCUGACAUUCCCUCCCACCCCCGCCCAAGUUCCAUGUCUUGCUACGGGUUCUUCUGUGCCUGUUGCUUUGGUUUUAGCUUUCCCCCGUUAGUCGACCGUGCCUGUGGGGAUUGGUACACUCAAUUAUGGAGGCUGAAAAGUCCCACAAUCUGCAUUCUGCAAGUUGGACACCCUGGAGAGAGCUGGUGGUGUAAUUCAGUUUGAGUCUGAAGGCCUGAGAACCUGGGGAGCUGAUGGUGUAAAUCCAGUCUAAGUGCAGGAGGAGACCAAUGGCCCAGUCCAACAGUCAGAUAGAUGUGGCAUCUCCUUGAUUAAUUACCCUUGCCUGGUGAUGACAGUACUCUCAGAGUAGCUGCUUAAGCUGCCCAGGUGACUGGAUCAUUCAUCACUAAACUAAAUCCAAAGAGAAGAUGCUGAACAAGGCUUCCAAGCAGGACCUCUCAGCCAAGUUGCCUAAGAACAACAGUUGACAAGAACUGCACGUCUUCAAACACUGUCUACAGCAGAAUGGAAACAGGAACCUCUGGGA